GCCCUUAGAGUUUGAUCCUGGCUCAGGACGAACGCUGGCGGCGCGCCUAACACAUGCAAGUCGAACGAGAGAGAAGGAGCUUGCUUCUUCGAUCGAGUGGCGAACGGGUGAGUAACGCGUGAGGAACCUGCCUCAAAGAGGGGGACAACAGUUGGAAACGACUGCUAAUACCGCAUAAGCCCACGGGUCGGCAUCGACCAGAGGGAAAAGGAGCAAUCCGCUUUGAGAUGGCCUCGCGUCCGAUUAGCUAGUUGGUGAGGUAAUGGCCCACCAAGGCGACGAUCGGUAGCCGGACUGAGAGGUUGAACGGCCACAUUGGGACUGAGACACGGCCCAGACUCCUACGGGAGGCAGCAGUGGGGAAUAUUGCACAAUGGGGGAAACCCUGAUGCAGCGACGCCGCGUGGAGGAAGAAGGUCUUCGGAUUGUAAACUCCUGUUGUUGAGGAAGAUAAUGACGGUACUCAACAAGGAAGUGACGGCUAACUACGUGCCAGCAGCCGCGGUAAAACGUAGGUCACAAGCGUUGUCCGGAAUUACUGGGUGUAAAGGGAGCGCAGGCGGGAAGACAAGUUGGAAGUGAAAUCCAUGGGCUCAACCCAUGAACUGCUUUCAAAACUGUUUUUCUUGAGUAGUGCAGAGGUAGGCGGAAUUCCCGGUGUAGCGGUGGAAUGCGUAGAUAUCGGGAGGAACACCAGUGGCGAAGGCGGCCUACUGGGCACCAACUGACGCUGAGGCUCGAAAGUGUGGGUAGCAAACAGGAUUAGAUACCCUGGUAGUCCACACCGUAAACGAUGAUUACUAGGUGUUGGAGGAUUGACCCCUUCAGUGCCGCAGUUAACACAAUAAGUAAUCCACCUGGGGAGUACGACCGCAAGGUUGAAACU
rnacentral:rRNA from 1 species